rnacentral:rRNA from 1 species
GAGCCCGCACAAGCAGUGGAGUAUGUUGUUUAAUUCGAAGCAACGCGAAGAACCUUACCAGGUCUUGACAUCCCGAGAAGUCUGCUUAAUGGCGGAUGUGCCCUUCGGGGAAUUCGGUGACAGGUAGUGCAUGGUUGUCGUCAGCUCGUGUCGUGAGAUGUUGGGUUAAGUCCCGCAACGAGCGCAACCCUUGUGAAUAGUUGCCAGCACAGCAAUGUGAGGCACUCUAUUCAGACUGCCGUUGACAAAACGGAGGAAGGUGGGGAUGAUGUCAAAUCAUCAUGCUCUUUAUGAUCUGGGCUACAAACGUACUACAAUGGCGCGAACAAAGGGGAGCAAUGGCGCGAGUCGGAGCAAAUCCCAAAAACGCGUCCCAGUUCGGAUUGCAGGCUGCAACUCGCCUGCAUGAAGUUGGAAUUGCUAGUAAUCGCGGGUCAGCAUACCG